UACGGAAGGCAGCAGUAGGGAAUCUUCCGCAAUGGACGAAAGUCUGACGGAGCAACGCCGCGUGAACGAUGAAGGCUUUCGGGUCGUAAAGUUCUGUUGUUAGGGAAGAACAAGUACCGGAGUAACUGCCGGUACCUUGACGGUACCUAACCAGAAAGCCACGGCUAACUACGUGCCAGCAGCCGCGGUAAUACGUAGGUGGCAAGCGUUGUCCGGAAUUAUUGGGCGUAAAGCGCGCGCAGGCGGUCCUUUUAAAGUCUGAUGUGAAAGCCCACGGCUCAACCGUGGAGGGUCAUUGGAAACUGGGGGACUUGAGUGCAGAAGAGGAGAGUGGAAUUCCACGUGUAGCGGUGAAAUGCGUAGAGAUGUGGAGGAACACCAGUGGCGAAGGCGACUCUCUGGUCUGUAACUGACGCUGAGGCGCGAAAGCGUGGGGAGCGAACAGGGAUUAGAUACC
rnacentral:rRNA from 1 species